ensembl:lncRNA
GAGAGAGAGAGAGAGAGAGAGAUCACAUAGUUGCCACAUGUGCUGAAAAGAGGCUGGCAAGUUCCAUUAUGACAACUUGCAUAUAGUGGGACAACUUGGCCCAUUGAAUAUGAUUAAUGGUAAAAAAAAACAAACAAACAAAAAAACAACUAAUGGUCUUAAUUUCCCUGACUUCUGUAUAUUCCAGUGGCAUGUCAUUCGUUGGGGUUCAGUUUAGAGACACUGCAUCCAAGAGUUUUCACUGCGCCCGAGGUAGGCUCUCAUUUUGGCCAUCAGGUUUGUCAUUUUGGACCAACGCAAGGAGACAGGUGAGGCCUGAAUUUUAAUAAGGUAGAAAUAAGUCUUUAAGGUAAUGACCUUUUUUUUUAAAGAUUAUUUUAGAUUAUUAUUUUAUAUUGUGACCAAAAUCACUAAUUCCUAACUGUUUAAAUGACCACAAAAAGUUUGUGUCUAUUGACUGGAAAAUGAUUAGGUUAUAAUUCAUAAUCCACUGUCAGGAAAUCUUCUAAAAAGUUUUUAGAAUUCUUUCUCCCUGAGUACAUCUCUGAAUCAUCCUAUACAGACAUUAAUGCAGUUGCAAUAAUGUUGCGUUAAUGUCCUGUUCAACCACUGCAUAUACUUCCUUUCUCAUAAUUGUCUUGUUCCCUUUUAGUGUGUUAGUGACGGCACCUAACCUUCAUAAUGGAACUGGUGGUCUUUAUAGGUGUACUUACAGUGGUAAUCAGUGUAUGCUGCUCCCAGUGACAGUUGAUCCAGGCAUUGCGUUUGGUUUGGCUCUUGCCUGUGAUGAUGGUCAAGCUUUGGUAAGUAGUGCUGAUUAUGAUUGCAGUGGUAAUAAUAAGUUGAGACAAGAGGUGGAUAAAAAUAUGUUUGUCGUGUUGCAUGCUUAAAUGCAUAAAUGUAUCCAAAGGCUGACUUAUGAGGCAUUCAAUGUAGUAAAUUUCUUAAAUUAAAAGAAAACAUGAAUUGCAACAUAAAACAAACUAAUUAUAUGCCACUUACAUGUUUGCUCUAAUAGCUUCAUGUGAACCAGCACCACCCUCCUGUCAGGGGUGGCAUUAAAAUACACUCUUUCCCUCACACCUGGGCACAAACUCAGUAAACCAACAGUUUUAACAAAAUGAUUUUUAAAUUGGCAAAUUUAUAAGAAUUUAUUAAGAAAGUAAAUAUAGCUCCUACAAUGAUAAAACUUCUAAACUACAGUUUCCAAAAAAAAAAAAAAAAAAAAAAAAAAAAAAAAAAGAAAUUGGCAGCAACUGUUUCCAACAUUGAUAAUAAUCAGAAAUGUUUCUUGAGCAGCAAAUCAUAAUAUUAGAAUGAUUUCUGAAAAAAAAUGUUUUUGUUUUUAUUCUGUGAAUAUAGUUCAAAUCACUAUUUUCUAACUAUAAUAGAAAAUUUAGAUUUUUUUAGUUUGAUUUAUUUAGG